AUUGAACGCUGGCGGCAGGCCUAACACAUGCAAGUCGAACGAGUGGCGGACGGGUGAGUAAUGUCUGGGAAACUGCCCGAUGGAGGGGGAUAACUACUGGAAACGGUAGCUAAUACCGCAUACCAUCGGAUGUGCCCAGAUGGGAUUAGCUAGUAGGUGGGGUAACGGCUCACCUAGGCGACGAUCCCUAGCUGGUCUGAGAGGAUGACCAGCCAAACUGGAACUGGGACACGGUCCAAGAUCCUAAGGGAGGCAGCAGGUGGGGAUAUUGGACAAUGGGGGGAAGCCCGAUGCAGCCAUGGCGGGUGUAUGAAGGAGGCCUUCGGGUUGUAAAGUACUUUCAGGCGGGAGGCGGUACCCGGAGAAGAAGCAACGGGUAAAUACGUGCCAGCAGGCGCGGUAAUAC
rnacentral:rRNA from 1 species